CCAACUGGGCAGAGGGAUCCUCCUCCUGUCAUCCUUGUUUUAAUGAUACUAGAGUCCAUGGGGCUGACACAAUACUGCUUCAUACUGUAUGCAUCCCUGUCUCACAUCCAAAUGGAGAAGUAUAUUAAUGUGUCAACCUUAUCUGACAGAGCAUCGUAGCUAAUACCCAAAACACCCACCUCUGAAUAUCAACUCAAUUUGUUCCCUUGAUAAAGUCUGAUCUUUAUCCACCAGCAUGUUAAUUACUUUAUUUGCUUAAUAUGAUUAAUAUAGAUGCUAUGUUAGAACCAAAAUGAAAAAAGGAAUACUCAUCCCACUUUGUGUGAAAAGAAGCUAUUGUGAUUUCUGUGGGAUUGCUUUGUGAUGACCAAGACCUGAGCUCAAUAUUAUUGUUACCACUUUAGCUUUAUGCCUUUUUUCUCUUCUGGUUGGUUGCCUUUUUUUU